rnacentral:rRNA from 1 species
AUUGAACGCUGGCGGCAUGCCUUACACAUGCAAGUCGAACGGUAGAGGGGGCAACCCCUCGAGAGUGGCGAACGGGUGAGUAAAGCAUCGGAACGUGCCCAGUAGUGGGGGAUAGCCCGGCGAAAGCCGGAUUAAUACCGCAUGAGACCUACGGGUGAAAGGGGGAGAUCGCAAGACCUCUCGCUAUUGGAGCGGCCGAUGUCAGAUUAGGUAGUUGGUGGGGUAAAGGCCUACCAAGCCGACGAUCUGUAGCUGGUCUGAGAGGACGACCAGCCACACUGGGACUGAGACACGGCCCAGACUCCUACGGGAGGCAGCAGUGGGGAAUUUUGGACAAUGGGCGCAAGCCUGAUCCAGCCAUGCCGCGUGCGGGAAGAAGGCCUUCGGGUUGUAAACCGCUUUUGUCAGGGAAGAAAUCCUUUGAGCUAAUACCUCGGGGGGAUGACGGUACCUGAAGAAUAAGCACCGGCUAACUACGUGCCAGCAGCUGCAGUAACAC